rnacentral:rRNA from 1 species
UGAAUGCCAGAUGUCGGGCAGCAUUCUCUUUGGUGUCACCUCUUAACGCUUAAGCAUUUCAGCUGGGGUAUUUCGCCCCAAGGUUAAUAAUCAAAGGAAAUGACGGGGGCCCGCACCAACUGUGGAGCAUGUUGGUUAAUUUGAAGCAACGGGCAGAACCUUACCAAUCCUUGACAUUCUGGUAGCGGGUAUCCGAGAGGGGUUCCUUCCAUUUGGGUGGACCAAUAACCGGUGCUGCAAGGAGGUUGUUAGAUCCUUUCGGGAGAAGUUUCGCUAAAUUCGGCAACGAGUCCAACCCUCACCCUUUGUUGCCAACCGUUCGGCCGGGCACUCUAGGGGAAUCGCCGGUGAUAAGCGGGGGGAAGGUGUGGAUGACGUCAAGUCCUCAUGGCCCCUAUGGGAUGGGCUACACACGUGUUACAAUGGCACAGACAGUGGGGUAAUCCCCAAAUACUGUAUCAGUUCGGCUAGUCGUAUUCAACUCGCCGGCAUGAAGUGGGAAUCGUUAGUAAUCGCGUAACAGCAUGACGCGGUGAAUACGUUCCCGGGCCUGGUACACCCCGCCCGUCACACCAUGGGAGUUGGGUUUACCCGAAGACGGUGCGCCUACUUCAGGGAGGCAGCUGUCCACGGUAGGCUCAGCGACUGGGGUGAAGUCGUAACAAGGUAACCAAGGGCGAA